rnacentral:rRNA from 1 species
GAUCUAGCCAUGGGCAGGUUGAAGGUUGGGUAACACUAACUGGAGGACCGAACCGACUAAUGUUGAAAAAUUAGCGGAUGACUUGUGGCUGGGGGGGAAAGGCCAAUCAAACCGGGAGAUAGCUGGUUCUCCCCGAAAGCUAUUUAGGUAGCGCCUCGUGAAUUCAUCUCCGGGGGUAGAGCACUGUUUCGGCAAGGGGGUCAUCCCGACUUACCAACCCGAUGCAAACUGCGAAUACCGGAGAAUGUUAUCACGGGAGACACACGGCGGGUGCUAACGUCCGUCGUGAAGAGGGAAACAACCCAGACCGCCAGCUAAGGUCCCAAAGUCAUGGUUAAGUGGGAAACGAUGUGGGAAGGCCCAGACAGCCAGGAUGUUGGCUUAGAAGCAGCCAUCAUUUAAAGAAAGCGUAAUAGCUCACUGGUCGAGUCGGCCUGCGC